UACGAAGGGGGCUAGCGUUGCUCGGAAUCACUGGGCGUAAAGCGCACGUAGGGGGGUCGCUAAGUCGGGGGUGAAAUCCUGGAGCUCAACUCCAGAACUGCCUUCGAUACUGGCGAUCUUUGAGUCCGGGAGAGGUGGGUGGAACUGCGAGUGUAGAGGUGAAAUUCGUAGAUAUUCGCAAGAACACCAGUGGCGAAGGCGGCUCACUGGCCCGGUACUGACACUGAGGUGCGAAAGCGUGGGGAGCAAACAGG
rnacentral:rRNA from 1 species